AUUCAAAACUUAUGGAAGAGGAAAAGGUUUUAGUCCCAACUUAACAUUAUCUUUGUAUGAGUAUGUUAAAAAUUGAAAUUCCUUAUCAGUUAUCCAAAUUACAUGUAUUACUAUAUUACACAAUAUGCAUCGGAACCAAUUGAAUCAAAUGCAUUAAAUUCAAAACUAAUGGAAGAGGAAAAGGUUUUAGUCCCAACUUAACAUUAUCUUUGUAUGAGUAUGUUAAAAAUUGAAAUUCCUUAUCAGUUAUCCAAAUUACAUGUAUUACUAUAUUACACAAUAUUCAUCGGAACCAAUUGAAUCAAAUGCAAUAAAUUCAAAACUAAUGGAAGGGGAAAAGGUUUUAGUUCCUACUUAACAUUGUCUUUGUAUGAGUAUGUUAAAAAUUGAAAUUCCUUAUCAGUUAUCCAAAUUACAUGUAUUACUAUAUUACACAAUAUGCAUCGGAACCAAUUGAAUCAAAUGCAUUAAAUUCAAAACUAAUGGAAGAGGAAAAGGUUUUAGUCCCAACUUAACAUUAUCUUUGUAUGAGUAUGUUAAAAAUUGAAAUUCCUUAUCAGUUAUCCAAAUUACAUGUAAACACCGUGUUUUAAACUUGAUAAUCAUACAUUCAUACGCAAUACGCAAUACGCAAUACGCAAAAGAUAUAAGUGUUGAGAUAAUGGCGAUCGGCGAAACUACUGGUCGAGUGCGCGGCUGCGUAAAUACUGAAUAGUGAAUACCUACACAGUACAGUGUACACAGUACACAUAGUCGUGGCGGGGUAUGGCGGUGGCAGCGUCGUAGCGACGGCACAAGCAGCCGUUAGAAGGAUUUCGGGGUUUCCCCGAAUAAAACUCAACAACAACACCAAAUUUAUAUAAUAUUAUUUAAUAUUUCUAUCACAAAUCAUAAUUAUUUCUUUGAAUUUGUGGCGGUGAUUAGCUGUCUUUGUCUAACACACGCACAACUUUAGAAUUUAGACGCGUUUUUGUCCAACGUACCGAUUUAUACAGUUAAGCGAUAAGAAUUCUGAAAACAGAUUUGAAUUGGUCAUCGAGUGUACUUGAGAUCGGCUGGCUAGUCCACUUUUUCCAGUUAACCUACGUACAAAUUAAUAAAAUUUUUAUACUACUUAGGUACAUAAAAUUAAAAAACACUAAGUGAAAUACCGUUUUAAAAUCAUCAACCUAUGUAAGGAAAUUACAAGGUAUAGGUAUUAGCUACAUAAAUGUUAGGUCACAUAUACAACUAUAUAAAUUUCAAUUGCCUAUAUAUGUAGGAUAAGAUAGAUUAUAAUGUAUUAUAUCAAAAUAAUAUAAUAAUUACCGAUUAUACCGUAAUUCCAGAAUGUGUAUCAACACAAAAUUGUUUUGAGAUAGACAAGGUUUAAUUCUUAACUCUAUUCAUACCCGUCAUUAUGCACCUUCUUGAAAAUAAACAAUAAUAACAGCUUUGCAGUUUAGUAUAUUAUAUAUCUGAAUGCGCUAGUAUAUUUAUUUUAUUUUCGCAAAAGGUAAAUAAUAUACGGACAAUAUUAAGCGAUAUUUAGCUUAGAAAUACACCCAUACACGAUAUGAUACAAACAAAAUAGUGAAAAUUCAGACGUUUUAACACACCAUGAAUUCCAAUUUAUAUUAUA